rnacentral:rRNA from 1 species
UACGGAGGGUGCGAGCGUUGUCCGGAAUCAUUGGGCGUAAAGCGCACGUAGGCGGUCCGUUAAGUCUCUUGGUGAAAGGCUGGGGCUCAACCCUAUGCAUGCCGGGGAUACUGGGGGACUGGAGACAGGUAGAGGCGAGCGGAAUUCCGCGUGUAGCAGUGAAAUGCGUAGAUAUGCGGAGGAACACCGAUGGCGAAGGCAAUCCCCUGGACCUGUACUGACGCUCAUGCACGAAAGCGUGGGGAGCAAACAGG